UGGAGCUUCAAUAAACUAACCCAGGAACUAUGGAAAAUGACCUAAACCUUGAGGAAUGAAGGUGUGGAUUACUCCACAAAUCUUCUGAGGCUGUUCCUUGCCAGCUGUCAUAGAAAUGUACCCUGGGGCAUCCAGAGCCUAUUCUUAGGUUCAUGCCAUGUGACCAUGUCUAUACCCUCUUCCAACAUGGCAACGCAAGGACACAUAGGCAUGCUUGGGGCUCUCCCAUCACUUUUGCCAAGUCACACAACCGUAUUUGCAGUAAGAAAGAAGAAAGAAGAGGUGAUCUAAGAACUGCGGCAGGGUAACGAGAAGAUGAGGAGCUAAAGGCUAACGAGUAAAGAAGCCCAGCAACGGGGAUAAAGAAACGCCUUAGGAGCACCUGCUGUGUUGGAAGCCAAAAGAAGAAAAUAUUGCAAUGCA